rnacentral:rRNA from 1 species
AAUAGAUACCCUGGUAGUCCACGCCGUAAACGAUGAGUGCUAAGUGUUAGAGGGUUUCCGCCCUUUAGUGCUGCAGCAAACGCAUUAAGCACUCCGCCUGGGGAGUACGGUCGCAAGACUGAAACUCAAAGGAAUUGACGGGGGCCCGCACAAGCGGUGGAGCAUGUGGUUUAAUUCGAAGCAACGCGAAGAACCUUACCAGGUCUUGACAUCCUUCGCUACUUCUAGAGAUAGAAGGUUCCCCUUCGGGGGACGGAGUGACAGGUGGUGCAUGGUUGUCGUCAGCUCGUGUCGUGAGAUGUUGGGUUAAGUCCCGCAACGAGCGCAACCCUUGACCUUAGUUGCCAGCAUUUAGUUGGGCACUCUAAGGUGACUGCCGGUGACAAACCGGAGGAAGGUGGGGAUGACGUCAAAUCAUCAUGCCCCUUAUGACCUGGGCUACACACGUGCUACAAUGGAUGGUACAAAGGGCUGCAAGACUGCGAAGUCAAGCCAAUCCCAUAAAAACCAUUCUCAGUUCGGAUUGCAGGCUG